GACGAACGCUGGCGGCGUGCCUAAUACAUGCAAGUAGAACGCUGAAGGAGGAGCUUGCUUCUCUGGCUGAGUUGCGAACGGGUGAGUAACGCGUAGGUAACCUGCCUGGUAGCGGGGGAUAACUAUUGGAAACGAUAGCUAAUACCGCAUAAUAUUAGAUGUUCCAUUACAUUUGCUUAAAAGGUGCAAUUGCAUCACUACCAUAUGGACCUGCGUUGUAUUAGCUAGUUGGUGGGGUAACGGCUCACCAAGGCGACGAUACAUAGCCGACCUGAGAGGGUGAUCGGCCACACUGGGACUGAGACACGGCCCAGACUCCUACGGGAAGGAGCAGUAGGGAAUUUUCGGCAAUGGACGGAAGGCUGAACGAGCAACGCCGCGUGAGUGAAGAAGGGUUUCGGAUCGGAAAGCUCUGUUGGAAGAGAAGAAAGAGUGGGAGAGUGGAAAGUUCACACUGUGACGGUAUCUUACCAGAAAGGGACGGCUAACUACGUG
rnacentral:rRNA from 1 species